CCGUCGAUAGCUCAGUUGGUAGAGCGGAGGACUGUAGAUCCUUAGGUCGCUGGUUCGAAUCCGGCUCGACGGA
ensembl:tRNA